rnacentral:SRP_RNA from 1 species
GCCAGGUGUGGUGGCACGUGCCUGUAGUCCCAGCUACUCAGGAGGCUGAGGUGGGAGAAUCACUUGAGCCUGGGAGGUUGAGGCUGCAGUGAGCCGAGAUUGCACCACUGCACUCUAGCCUGGGCAACAGAGUGAGACCCUAACUCAA